rnacentral:tRNA from 1 species
GGGUGGCUCAGUGGUUAAGAGCACUGGCUGCUCUUCCAGAGGUCCUGAGUUCAAUUCCCAGCAACCA